rnacentral:rRNA from 1 species
GUGACUGCGUACCUUUUGUAUAAUGGGUCAGCGACUUAUAUUCUGUAGCAAGGUUAACCGAAUAGGGGAGCCGAAGGGAAACCGAGUCUUAACUGGGCGUUAAGUUGCAGGGUAUAGACCCGAAACCCGGUGAUCUAGCCAUGGGCAGGUUGAAGGUUGGGUAACACUAACUGGAGGACCGAACCGACUAAUGUUGAAAAAUUAGCGGAUGACUUGUGGCUGGGGGUGAAAGGCCAAUCAAACCGGGAGAUAGCUGGUUCUCCCCGAAAGCUAUUUAGGUAGCGCCUCGUGAAUUCAUCUCCGGGGGUAGAGCACUGUUUCGGCAAGGGGGUCAUCCCGACUUACCAACCCGAUGCAAACUGCGAAUACCGGAGAAUGUUAUCACGGGAGACACACGGCGGGUGCUAACGUCCGUCGUGAAGAGGGAAACAACCCAGACCGCCAGCUAAGGUCCCAAAGUCAUGGUUAAGUGGGAAACGAUGUGGGAAGGCCCAGACAGCCAGGAUGUUGGCUUAGAAGCAGCCAUCAUUUAAAGAAAGCGUAAUAGCUCACUGGUCGAGUCGGCCUGCGCGGAAGAUGUAACGGGGCUAAACCAUGCACCGAAGCUGCGGCAGCGACACUAUGUGUUGUUGGGUAGGGGAGCGUUCUGUAAGCCUGUGAAGGUGUGCUGUGAGGCAUGCUGGAGGUAUCAGAAGUGCGAAUGCUGACAUAAGUAACGAUAAAGCGGGUGAAAAGCCCGCUCGCCGGAAGACCAAGGGUUCCUGUCC